UCUGAUGGUCUUAGACGACCCCUGUGAAAGGGUCCUUUGAUCCCCAGGUUGAGAACCACUGUCUUAUAGCAUACCAGAAGAGAUCUAGACGUCCAGUGGUCAUUCUUUACCUCGACCUCAGGAGAGGGGAGAUGGUACACCACUUUGGUUGGGCAGGUCUGUCCCUGGACCCCACUGGACCCCCAGAUUAAGCCCUUAUUGCCACCCAUUCCUGGCCCUAAAUACAUACAUACGAGUGUGUGUGUGCCUGAUAAGGCAGAGUUUUGUCUUUACCUUUGAAAUAUGUUUUGAAUCUUGCUUUUAUAAAACACUAGAUGGGUUUUGGUAUUUUGUCUAGUCUCCACUUCCUGUUGGCUAUAAAUGCCUGCAAAGAUUCAGCCCAAAGUCCCAAGGAAGAGGCCAGUAAAGCAGAGUGUCCUCACUCUCUCCACUCAUCUCCUCCCCAGCAGCAAAUUUAAUAACAGCCAUGCCCACAGCUACCCCCCGACACACAAUGUAAAACCCUCACCCAGUCUCUCUUUCCAAGGUCUCUAGGAGAAAGAGCUGGAGAGUUACUUUGAGCUUUGGCAGGACUUCAGAAUUUUUUUCCCCCAGUAGAAGCUCAAUAAUUCUUGAGAUCUAAAUUUAGAAGCUUGUACAGAGAGCCCUGAGAAAUCAGAAGCAAGACAACCAGGCUUUCCAACUAGCACCCUCUCCUACCCCCCCCCCCCCCCCCCCCCCGUCUCCCCCUGACCUCAAGCAAUGUAAUAAAGCUGUUGCAGUCAUUUUCCAAGGUCAAUUUUCAGCUCUUAAUAGAUUUAAUGGGCUGUUUAAAAAGGAUCCAUGGCUUGUGUUUAAUCAAGCUUACACAGGUUUGGGUAUAUCAAGGAAAGGUGAGGGUGAGGAGACGGGGAAGAAGGGGACCAGAACAAAGUCGAAAUCCUCUUCAGAACUCCGUCGGAAUGUGAUGGGAGUGUGGUUCCAUCCCUGAGAUCAGGUCGGAGCCACUUACUUCCCAAGCCUUGGAUCUCGGUGGAAAAGUGAAAGAAGAAACCUGCCGGAGUUAUCAAGACUAAAGACAGUGGGGGAGAUGAGAGGGAGGAGCCUUGAGCAGUUGGUGAGUAAAUGGUCCUGUCGAAGCUCAUGGGGAGUGAAGCUCCAGCCACACAGCCGUACUAACAAACCUCAUCACGAUUGUGGUAAUGCUAGGAUGUCUGGGAUGUCUGGCUGUGUGGAUGGGAUCGAAUAGUCAUGAGGUCACGGGGUUCUGCCUUCAUGAAUGAAUUAAUACCGUGCCUUGUGAGUGGGUCAGUAGGUAUAGGUCAGUUCUUGAGAGAGUGGGUCGCUAUUUAAAGAAUCACUUUGUCCCCCCCCCCCCCAUUCUGGUUUUGCUGAGUUCUCUUUCCUUCUGAUAAGGACCCCUUCCAUGUUGAUCUAUGCUAUGCUGUGAUGUAGCCAGAAGGCUUGCACCCGAUGUCAAACAGAUGGGGCUUCUAUAUCUUAUACUUUCAGUGUCCAAAACUUUAUCAAUCAAAUAAACCUCUUUUCUGCAUAAAGUUUACAGCCAUAGAUAAUUUGUUAUAGCUGUUCCACACGGGCCCGGAUAGUACCCAGUACGAGUCAGUGCACAGUUACUGUGCUCCAGACUUUCUGCUGCAGCAUGUUUCAAGUCUUUCCUUCAGGUCUCAACAACUGCCUGGGGGAAGUAUGUUCAAUUGUCAUUCCCAUGAUGCACUGGGGAGAAACAGAGAGCCGAUGAAGAGACGCCAUUGGUCUAAACACUUGCAUCCAGUGAGUGCUGAUGAUUUGCAUCUAGGUAAUCUAACCUUAGAAUUUAUGAUUAACCACUUGAAGGAUAUAGGAACACCUGAGCAAGAAUUGUCUAUGUGAAGAAGAAAAUAAUACCCAUAAGUCUGUCUCAUGCCUAUGGCUAGUUGGGACUUUUGGUGUAUGCGGAAGAGACCAUGGGAUGUCCACCAAGGUAUGUGUUGCUUUUCUGUAAAUGUAGAGUUACAGUUAUGCUUGGCUGCCCAGCUAGACAGCAUUUCCCACCCUCCUGGCAGUUUAAUAUGAACAGGGAACAUAAUAUUGCUGUUUCCUUUCAUUACAAUUACAUCUAACUACUGAGUCUAUUUUCUUCUAGUUGUCUGCCCUGUGACUAUUUGUAUAUUCAUUUCUCACAUAAUCCCCUUAGAUAUUUGUGUUUUCCCUUGUAUUCUAUGACCCUCCUUCAGGACUGGUGAAUCCAGUCUUACCAUCUAAUUCUAGAACAAUAUUAAUUUGACAUGAUGAUACAGUACCAGCUACCACCAUCACCUAUGAUGAUACAGUAUUGACUGCAAUCCCAUCACCCCUUCUUAUGUUUGAGAAUAACUUUGCACUUAAGCACUCAACUAGAAAAUCUAGUCCCUCCUCCCCUCCCCCCACAAGCGUGUCUCAUGUUAGGGAACUACAACCGUCUCUUUUACCAUGGGUUUGUUUGCUCUAUGGGUACCUCGCCUUUGUGUCCUGUGAGGUGAUGUACGAGCUCAAGUCACCUUAGUUUCCUCAUUUGGGGUAACCCAUCAGUGUUGUCCUAACUGAGCCCAGGAAAGCAGAACAGCAAAGGUCAGAGACAAUCUAGUUUUCUGCGCCUGGUGGAGAAUCUCCACCUGAUCAGUGACAGCCCACAAGGCGUGGUGAGGGCCAGUGCUUGCACUAAACUCUUUCAGUGCACUGUGUGUGUGUGUGUGUGUGUGUGUGUGUGUGUUGUAUGCAAGUGUUAUGUGGAUGUACACAUGUGUGUGGAAGCCAGAGUUGAUGUCAUGUGUCAGGUAUCUUCAGUUACAUCCUUCCUUCCUUCCUUCCUUCCUUCCUUCCUUCCUUCCUUCCUUCCUCCCUCCCUCCCUCCCUUCCUUCCUUCCUUCCUUCCUUUUUUUUGAGACACUCUUUUACUGACUCUUCAGCUUCUGGAUUUGGCAAGGUAGACUGCUAAUGACCAGGGAUUCCUCCAUUUCCAUCCCCCUAGAGUUGACACUGUAGGCGAACCCUGCUGCUCCCAUCCUUUGAUGUGGGUCCAAGGUACCCAGAGUCAGGUCUUCCUGCUUGUGCGGCAAACACUUUACCGAUUGAGCUGUCCCCCAUUCUUCAAAUCACCUUCUUUCAAAAUUAUUUCUUUUUUCUCCUGUUUUCCAAGAGAGUAUGUGUAUUUUUUUUAAACCAAGCAGUCAGAAUAGGCUCUUUUAAAGACAUCAUUAAAAAAAAAAAAAAGACAAGCUAAGUUUUAUAUGGGCAAGUAUUUGAAUAGAUUUUUCUCUAAAUAAUAUAUCCAAUUGGCUAAUACGCACAUGAAAAGAUACUUGAUGUCAUUAGUCAUUAGAGAAACGCAAAUCAAAACUAGAACAAGCUAAGACUUUAUGCCUAUCAGUAUGGCUAAAGAAAGAAGACAAUACAAGCAUGAGGUGUGGAGGACCAGAUCCCUCUUAUACUGCUGUUGAGAAUGCCAGGUGGGGUAGCGACCCAGGAAAAUUUGAUAAUUCCCCAACAAAAUUUGAUAAUUCCUCAGUAAAUUGAAAAAAAAACCCCACACAUACAAAAGUUCAAAGUAGUAUUCAUAAUAGCCCAAAGUGGAGAUAACUCAAGUAUCUACUAAGAGCUGAUGAAUUAAGUAAGCUGUAGAAUAUCCUACAACUAGGUAUAGUAAUAAAGGACGGGUACUGGUACAUACUACAGCAGGGAGGAACCUUGAAAUAGCAUGAAGAAGGCAGUCACAAAAGACAGUCGGUUGCAUGAUUCCAAUGAGCUCAAAUGCCCACAGGCACAUUUUUAAAGCCAGAAAGCUGAUGAGUGUUUGCUAGCACUGGAGGUGAGGGAGGGAGUGGAGUCUGAAUACUGAUGGUGCGCAUGCUCUGUGGAAAGCCACAAAAGCAUUCUAAAAUUAGGUUGCCCAAAUUUGAUUACUAAAAAUCCAUUGCAUUUUAAGUGGGUGAAGUGUAUGGCAAAUGAAUUAUACUCAACAAAGCUGCUAAAAUAAAGCAGAAGUUGGGCUGGGGAGAGAGUUCAGUCGAUAAGGUGCUUGCUUGCAAGCAUGAUGACAUGAUUUUAAUCCACAUCAUGAAAACCAGCUACAUUGGCGUCCAUUUGUAAUUCCAACGUUGGUGAUGCAGAGACACAGAACUUGCUGGUGGUCAGCCUCACCUACUUGAUGAGUUCUAGCCCAAUGAGAGACUGUCUCACCAAGGAACUACAGCUAAGGUUGUCCUCUGACUUCCGUGUUUAUGUGCACACACGUGCACAAACAUACACAUGAAAAGAGAAAUUAAAUCCUCUGCUUGGAAUCCUGCAGAGGCUCCUUGGUUUUUCUGAGUUGGACCUAUAUCCUCACCAUGUGCCAUACAGUAGUCUGACCUCGAGUUUCUGCCCUAACUGAAUCUUCCCUCAUCUACUGGCCUCCACGCUGUACCUACUUGUGACACAUCUGACCUCAGAGCCUUUCUCCUGGCUGUCCCCUCUGCUAGAGAAGCCCCUUCCUCAGAUACCCUCCUACAGAGCUCCUGUAUCUGGCAAGUCCCCUAGUCCUGGCAAGUCUCUUACCUGGCUCUCCAUACCGAAUUACCUUUAUUGUGCACACACACCCUGUUGCCUCCUAAUAUACCAUACAAUUUGCUUAUUGCAAUGUUGUCUGGUUCUUUCUAGUGAAACACACCUCUUCCACAGGAUCCAGAAUCUCAGGGUUGAUCACUGUAUCCCAUUUCCCAGAAACACACUGCUCACCCAGCAAGGGUCUCAAUAAAUCCUUGUAGAAUCGGGACCAUAGCCGAAAAGGACAACAUUGUCAUUUAAUUCCAAUUCCUUUCUUCCUUGCAUACCUACUACUGUGGAGGCUUUAAAAAACAGGACCUCACCAGGUGAUGGUGGCACAUGCCUUUAAUCCCAGCACUCGGGAGGCAGAGCCAGGUGGAUCUCUGAGAGUUCACAGCCAGCCUUGUCUACAGAGCGAGAUCCAGGACAGGCACCAAAACUACACAGAGAAACCCUGACUCAGAAAAACCAAACCAACCAACCAACCAACCAAUCCCCCACCACACACACACACAAACCAAAAAAUACCUCCCAGCUGACCUUUAUGGGUACAGAACCAGAGCAAGAGGAGGCUGCAAGGCUGUUUCAUUAUCGGACCAAAGACAAGAGGCCUAGCCAGGGUCCAUCUACAGCCCAUCUCCCUUUCCCAUCCUUGAAGAACAUCUUUCCAGAAUUUUUCUUUUCAUGUAUAUGUCUUCUAAAAUUAAAAAUUGCAUUAUUCUAUUUGCAUAUUGUCUGAAGACCUGCUUCCCCCCACAGGUAACGGCACUGUAACCUGCCUGUCAUCGCUGGUCUUCCUAAGUGAUGGUUCGCCCUGAACUUAUUGAAGGUGUGUUAACGUAACAGGCAGGCAGGGCAAAUGAAAGCCAGGCUGUGUGCCAGGUCCCGAAGGAACGGCAGAAUGAGGGAUGAUUGGGCUUAGCCUUCUGAGAAAAAGGCUCCUCAGUUUAGAAACAAGUCCCUCAAAGGUGUGUACACAGGGAAGGCUGCUCACCACUGUUCAUGGAGCUCCAGAGAUUGACGCCCUGGCUUGCUGGUCAUCAGUUUCCCAAACACAACAAUCUCUACUCACCUCAUAUUACAUGUAUGUCCUGUAUGUAAAAUGCUCAGAACAGUGUGGUGAAUUCUCCAUGAACCAUGGAUAAGGAUGGGAGUCUGCAUUCCCUGAGAAGAACCUGUGAGGAGGCACAGCUCUAUCAGAGUUAACACUAAAAUCCAGAGUGUUCCAUGCAGUAUUGAGGUCAACUUUGAUCAACCAUUAUUCCAUUUUCUUCUGUGUGGGAAAUACUGUGAUUAUGAAUUCACUCAGUUACUCAAUCAAAUAGGUUUUCCUUCUCUUACUCCCAGCCUCUCUGCUCUGUCCGCUCAACCAUUCCGAGCAUUGAUGCAUUGGAUGUUCCCACUUUUCAUUAAUAAAAUACCAUGAACCUUAUGUGUAUGAAGGUGAAGAAGAUACUCAGGUAGACACAGUUACCUGUAGGUCUCAUUCUGUUGGGGGAAGAGACAUUAAACAAGUUAGGAAACUUCAAAAUAUCAGGUACUGUUGGGAUACCAGCAGCCCAUUGGUAUUUUAGGAGCAAGCACACUUUGCGAACAGGCUUAAAAGUCACAUGCUGUUUGUGGAGACAUACAUUUUCCUGU